rnacentral:lncRNA from 1 species
AGAAAUCGGAGGCAGAAGCACCGAGGAGAGGCAGCACAGUCGUACCUUUGUAAGGGUCCAGGGCAGGGGGGAACCCCCCCCCGGCGGAUCUCUUCUCCAGCAACACCUGAACAGCUUUAGAGUAAGCGGGGCGGCUCGGGUACUCGAGAAGCUGCACCUGAUCGACCUUAAUUCUGCAGUCACAGAUGCUCACAAACUCUUUGCUCUCCAGGGCCGUCACUUCGAAAUUCAUCCCCGCAGCGGUGCCACGGUAGGGCAAGUCGACGUUGACGGCACCCGAUCCCUUGCGAGAGCCGACGGACACGAGGUAGUCAUCGGCUUCCCGCUUUCCUUUCGGCUGUAUGAAGUAGCCCUGCGGAAGAUCCCCGCCGGCCUUCUCUUGCAGAUUACUAACGGCUGCCGGAGCGGUCUCCGCGGACAACCAUGAAUCGGCCGUCAGCACCAGCACGAUGUAUUGUUUGAACGUAGAAGAUGGGGUCUUCAGGACGACCGCCAGAAAGUGAUCAUCCGCCUGCCACAGACCAGACCGACCGCGCCCUCGGUGAGCGGUAAAAAAAUCUCCUCUACGCCAUUAUUUCUCAUCCGACCGAUUCAGAAAGAAUAGGGCAAUUGCAGCAACUCUACCACAGACGACGAAGGAGCAACGAGGGCACGGGAAAAGAAAAAAAGAGCACCAUCUGGAGGAUAAUGCUUACCGCCUGUGGCCGGACAACCACGACUCUUCCAGGUGAGAGGAAGUGCGGAGCGUAUUUCAUCACUGCUUCUGACAGGCUCGCUCGAAGUUCCUCGGCCUCCGAGGCCAAGUCGAAGUACUCCUCAAUCGCGGGCUCACCCUUUAUGCAUCUGCCAGGCAAAGAGAAUGGUCGUGUUCAUGAGCAGCGCGUCUAUCGAAACCCGUUUCAGAGAGCCCAGUGCUCUCCCAGAGCCAGAAUCAGAGCUGAUGAUCCCAAUCCCAUCCCUCCAGCAGUGACCUCCUUCAGACUGGUCCGAGGAGAAACUUACUCGAUGGCUUCGGCGGGCUGAGAGAGUUUCAAUAACAGAAGCUUUUCUUUCUCUGGCAGGUUCUUCUGAGCGUGGAACUCGGCGAAACUCCGCUUCAGCAUAUCCUCAACCUGGGACAGGUAUUCUUCGUCAGAUUUUCUCAUCGUCCACAUCACCCAAUUCACGCCAUCUAAUCCACCCCCACAGUACGUUUCGAUGUAGCAUAUAUAUAAUAACAACGGGAUAAACCUACCGCCGUGGGUAGAUCAACACAUCAUUUCUAAGAUUAUCUACUUGAUCUUUCGAGCCUGUAUGCAGAUUCUUUUACGUGGAUGUCUUGCUCAUUUUUUUCAGCAGAAUAAAAAGAAGAAAAAAAAAGAGGACACUUUCAGCAGCAUUAUCUACUCGACCGCACGGAUAUUUACCAAUGGAGGAUACAUGACGAACUGAAACCGGUUUGAAAAAUAUAUGUUUUCAGGAUUCAUUUGAUCAUUUCUCAAUAGGGCCCUCGACUUUUUUUUUUGUUUUUUCUUCAUUUUUAUGCAUAUAGUUCCCAUUUCAGGAACGAAGCUCCAAGAGAGGCAUGAUAAUAACCUUUCUGAGUGGCAUGUUAAUCUAAACUUAAAUGUCAGAAACAACCAGUCUAUGGGGCAUUUAACCUGGAACAGUGAAAAAUUUAGCUGAAUACAGAAAACAAAAGAGCGCAC